rnacentral:rRNA from 1 species
AUAGCGAGAAAGAAACUAACAAGGAUUCCCCUAGUAACUGCGAGUGAAGCGGGAAAAGCUCAAAUUUAAAAUCUGGCAGUCUUUUGGCUGUCCGAGUUGUAAUUUAGAGAAGCGUCUUCCGCGCCGGACCGUGCACAAGUCUCCUGGAAUGGAGCGUCAUAGAGGGUGAGAAUCCCGUCUUUGGCAUGGACACCCGGGGCUUCUGUGAUGCGCUCUCGAAGAGUCGAGUUGUUUGGGAAUGCAGCUCAAAAUGGGUGGUGAACUCCAUCUAAAGCUAAAUAUUGGCGAGAGACCGAUAGCGAACAAGUACCGUGAGGGAAAGAUGAAAAGCACUUUGGAAAGAGAGUGAAACAGUACGUGAAAUUGUUGAAAGGGAAACGCUUGAAGUCAGUCGCGUCGAUCGAGACUCAGCCUUGCCUCGGCUUGGCAUACUUCUCGGCUGACGGGCCAGCAUCAAUUUUGUCUCUCGGAUAAUGACAAGGGAAAGGUGGCACCUUCACAGGUGUGUUAUAGUCUUCUGUCGCAUGCGAGGGGUGGGAUUGAGGAACUCAGCACGCACCUUCUUGGUGUCGGGGCUUUCUGCCCACGCUACGUGCUUAGGAUGUUGGCGUAAUGGCUUUAAACGACCCGUCUUGAAACACGGACCAAGGAGUCUAACAUGCCCGCGAGUGUUCGGGUGGAAAACCCGUGCGCGUAAUGAAAGUGAAAGUUGGGACCUCUGUCGUGGAGGGCACCGACGCCCGGACCAGACCUUCUGUGACGGAUCUGCGGUAGAGCGUGUAUGUUGGGACCCGAAAGAUGGUGAACUAUGCCUGAAUAGGGUGAAGCCAGAGGAAACUCUGGUGGAGGCUCGUAGCGAUUCUGACGUGCAAAUCGAUCGUCAAAUUUGGGUAUAGGGGCGAAAGACUAAUCGAACCAUCUAGUAGCUGGUC